rnacentral:rRNA from 1 species
GAUGAACGCUGGCGGCGUGCCUAAUACAUGCAAGUCGAGCGAACAGACGAGGAGCUUGCUCCUCUGACGUUAGCGGCGGACGGGUGAGUAACACGUGGAUAACCUACCUAUAAGACUGGGAUAACUUCGGGAAACCGGAGCUAAUACCGGAUAAUAUAUUGAACCGCAUGGUUCAAUAGUGAAAGACGGUUUUGCUGUCACUUAUAGAUGGAUCCGCGCCGCAUUAGCAAGUUGGUAAGGUAACGGCUUACCAAGGCAACGAUGCGUAGCCGACCUGAGAGGGUGUUAGGCCACACUGGAACUGAGACACGGUCCAGACUCCUACGGGAGGCAGCAGGAGGGAAUCUUCCGCAAUGGGCGGAAGCCUGACGGAGCAACGCCGCGUGAGUGAUGAAGGUCUUCGGAUCGUAAAACUCUGUUAUUUUGGUAGAACAAAUGUGUAAGUAACUAUGCACGUCUUGACGGUACCUAAUCAGAAAGCCACGGCUAACUUCGUG